rnacentral:misc_RNA from 1 species
GAUGAAGAACGUAGCGAAAUGCGAUAAGUAGUGUGAAUUGCAGAAUUCAGUGAAUCAUCGAAUCUUUGAACGCACAUUGCGCCCUUUGGUAUUCCUUAGGGCAUGCCUGUUCGAGCGUCAUCUAAACCUUCAAGCUCAGCUUGGUGAUGGGCGACUGUCCCCCCCCCCUCGCGGGGGGGACUCGCCUCAAAAACAUUGGCGGCCGGUACAUUGGCUUCGAGCGCAGCAGAAACGCGGUCUCGAGCCCGGUGGAUCGGCUCCCAUAAGCCUAUUCUUUUAUUUUGACCUCGGAUCAGGUAGGGAUACCCGCUGAACUUAAGCAUAUCAAUAAGCGGAGGA